rnacentral:ncRNA from 1 species
ACAAUGGAACGUAAAAACACGGUCUGGUUGGUAGUCCAGGCGCAUUGGUGAUUUGGAUUUACAUAUCAUCAAUGUCAGUAAUCUUCCCCCCUCGGGAUGUCCAUCGUUCCAGCUAUGAGU